rnacentral:lncRNA from 1 species
AAGCAUGCCAGCCCUCUUAGCCAAUCACACGGCUAAGCGGCAGCGACGGCGUGAGGUGCGGCCUCUUGAGGCAGAGGAGUGGGGCGGGCUGUGUGACGGGCUUCGGCCACAGCCAAUCGUAAGUGAAGACGGCGAGCGGGGUGCCCCUGCGUCAGAACAAAUGCGGCAAAUCGCUUGGGAGGGAGGGGAAGCGCUCCUCCACCAGCGGGCAUUUUUGCGCUCACGCGCGACUGCUCCAGGCUGUCAUUGCUCUCCUGACCGUCUACGAGAAGACUGGGAAACUUGAGAGGGAUUCCCCAGGAUCAACCAUCUGAGCAGAUACCUUGGAAUGUCCCCAGAUUUCAGAGCCUCGGACCAGCAGCAACACACUCUGAAGUAGGUCUCAGAAGACAAAAAGCUGAAAUCAACUCAUGCUUCCUGCUACACAGAAUCCACUGAGAGGAAAAGGAAACUUCACCGAAACUUCAGAAAGCUACAGAAAUGACAUCCAUUUUCACAAUCCCAGAAGGAAAGAUGCAUCUGAAGGGAAUAAAAACAGAGCAAUGGAAGAGUAUUUGUUAAAAUAAAUGGCUUUGACAGGGCA